GCGCCGAUGGUAUAGUGGUUAGCAUCCUCGCUUCCCAAGCGAGGGACCCGGGUUCGAACCCCGGUCGGCGCA
rnacentral:tRNA from 8 species